rnacentral:rRNA from 1 species
AAAUCGAGCGGUAGAGAGAGCUUGCUUCUCUUGAGAGCGGCGGACGGGUGAGUAAUGCCUAGGAAUCUGCCUGGUAGUGGGGGAUAACGUUCGGAAACGGACGCUAAUACCGCAUACGUCCUACGGGAGAAAGCAGGGGACCUUCGGGCCUUGCGCUAUCAGAUGAGCCUAGGUCGGAUUAGCUAGUUGGUGGGGUAAUGGCUCCCAAGGCGACGAUCCGUAACUGGUCUGAGAGGAUGAUCAGUCACACUGGAACUGAGACACGGUCCAGACUCCUACGGGAGGCAGCAGUGGGGAAUAUUGGACAAUGGGCGAAAGCCUGAUCCAGCCAUGCCGCGUGUGUGAAGAAGGUCUUCGGAUUGUAAAGCACUUUAAGUUGGGAGGAAGGGCAGUAGAUUAAUACUUUGCUAUUUUGACGUUACCGACAGAAUAAGCACCGGCUAACUCUGUGCCAGCAGCCGCGGUAAUACAGAGGGUGCAAGCGUUAAUCGG